UACAGAGGGUGCAAGCGUUAAUCGGAGUUACUGGGCGUAAAGGGCGCGUAGGCUGAUAUUUAAGUCGAUUGUGAAAUCCCUGGGCUUAACCUAGGAAUUGCAUUCGAUACUGAAUGUCUUGAGUAUGGUAGAGGAAAGUAGAAUUCUCGGUGUAGUGGUUAAAUACGUAGAUAUCGAGAGGAAUACCGGUGGCGAAGGCGACUUUCUGGGCCAAUACUGACGCUGAGGCGCGAAAGCGUGGGGAG
rnacentral:rRNA from 1 species